rnacentral:snRNA from 19 species
AUACUUACCUAGAUCAGGGUCGGCGGGCUCAUGCAUCCGCGCGACCGGCGGAGAUCAGCUGCAUUGCACGAGUGCGGGACUGGUCUUGUCUGAUGGCUCCAAGUGGGCUGUCUCUGGCGCAAUUUUUGCUUGUCUGAAGGUUGGUUUACCCCUUGCCUUCG